GACGAACGCUGUCGGCGUGCUUAACACAUGCAAGUCGAACGGAAAGGCCCUGCUUUUGUGGGGUGCUCGAGUGGCGAACGGGUGAGUAACACGUGAGUAACCUGCCCUUGACUUUGGGAUAACUUCAGGAAACUGGGGCUAAUACCGGAUAGGAGCUCCUGCUGCAUGGUGGGGGUUGGAAAGUUUCGGCGGUUGGGGAUGGACUCGCGGCUUAUCAGCUUGUUGGUGGGGUAGUGGCUUACCAAGGCUUUGACGGGUAGCCGGCCUGAGAGGGUGACCGGCCACAUUGGGACUGAGAUACGGCCCAGACUCCUACGGGAGGCAGCAGUGGGGAAUAUUGUACAAUGGGCGGAAGCCUGAUGCAGCAACGCCGCGUGCGGGAUGACGGCCUUCGGGUUGUAAACCGCUUUCGCCUGUGACGAAGCGUGAGUGACGGUAAUGGGUAAAGAAGCACCGGCUAACUACGUGCCAGCAGCCGCGGUGAUACGUAGGGUGCGAGCGUUGUCCGGAUUUAUUGGGCGUAAAGGGCUCGUAGGUGGUUGAUCGCGUCGGAAGUGUAAUCUUGGGGCUUAACCCUGAGCGUGCUUUCGAUACGGGUUGACUUGAGGAAGGUAGGGGAGAAUGGAAUUCCUGGUGGAGCGGUGGAAUGCGCAGAUAUCAGGAGGAACACCAGUGGCGAAGGCGGUUCUCUGGGCCUUUCCUGACGCUGAGGAGCGAAAGCGUGGGGAGCGAACAGGCUUAGAUACCCUGGUAGUCCACGCUGUAAACGGUGGGUACUAGGUGUGGGGUCCAUUCCACGGGUUCCGUGCCGUAGCUAACGCUUUAAGUACCCCGCCUGGGGAGUACGGCCGCAAGGCUAAAACUCAAAGGAAUUGACGGGGCCCCGCACAAGCGGCGGAGCAUGCGGAUUAAUUCGAUGCAACGCGUAGAACCUUACCUGGGUUUGACAUGGAUCGGGAGUGCUCAGAGAUGGGUGUGCCUCUUUUGGGGUCGGUUCACAGGUGGUGCAUGGCUGUCGUCAGCUCGUGUCGUGAGAUGUUGGGUUAAGUCCCGCAACGAGCGCAACCCUUGUUCACUGUUGCCAGCACGUUAUGGUGGGGACUCAGUGGAGACCGCCGGGGUCAACUCGGAGGAAGGUGGGGAUGACGUCAAGUCAUCAUGCCCCUUAUGUCCAGGGCUUCACGCAUGCUACAAUGGCUGGUACAGAGAGUGGCGAGCCUGUGAGGGUGAGCGAAUCUCGGAAAGCCGGUCUCAGUUCGGAUUGGGGUCUGCAACUCGACCUCAUGAAGUCGGAGUCGCUAGUAAUCGCAGAUCAGCAACGCUGCGGUGAAUACGUUCCCGGG
rnacentral:rRNA from 1 species